rnacentral:tRNA from 1 species
UCCCUGGUGGCUCAGAGGGUAAAGCGUCUGUCUGCAAUGCAGGAUACUCGGGUUCGAUUGCUGAGUCGGGAA